UACGUAGGGGGCAAGCGUUGUCCGGAUUUAUUGGGCGUAAAGCGCGUGUAGGCGGCCAGAUAGGUCUGCUGUGAAAACUCGAGGCUCAACCUCGAGCUGUCGGCGGAAACCAUCUGGCUAGAGUCCGGAAGAGGAGAGUGGAAUUCCUGGUGUAGCGGUGAAAUGCGUAGAUAUUGGGAGGAACACCAGUGGCGAAGGCGGCUCACUGGACCGGAACUGACGCUGAGGCGCGAAAGCGUGGGGAGCAAACGGGG
rnacentral:rRNA from 1 species